GCCCGGCCCGGGUUGCCGGGUCCGGAGCGUCGCGCAGCCAUGGCGCUGGGCUGCAAGGUGGAGCUGGCCGAGGCCCUGGCGCUGGGGCCGGGCUGGCGGCACGCCUGCCACGCGCUGCUGUACGCGCCCGACCCGAGGCUGCUGUUCGGCCGCUUCCCGCUGCGCUACGCCGUGCUGAUGCAGAUGCGCUUCGACGGGCGCCUGGGCUUCCCCGGCGGCUUCGUGGACGCGCAGGACGGCAGCCUGGAGGACGGGCUGAACCGGGAGCUGCGCGAGGAGCUGGGCGAGGCGGCCGCCGCCUUCCGCGUGGAGCGCGCCGACUACCGCGGCUCGCGCCUCGGGCCCCGGCCGCGCCUCCUCGCCCACUUCUACGCCAAGCGCCUGUCGCCCGAGCAGCUGGAGGCCGUGGAAGCCGGCGCCUCGCGGGCCAAGGACCACGGGCUGGAGGUGCUGGGCCUCGUGCGCGUGCCCCUGUACACGCUCCAGGACGGCGUGGGAGGCCUGCCUGCUUUCCUGGAGAAUUCUUUCAUCGGCGCAGCCCGGGAACAGCUCCUGGAAGCCCUGGAAGACUUGGAACUCUUGGAGCCUGGCUCGCUCUCGUGCCUCAAGGCCCGAGCUCCUCAGUAGAGGCGCCUUCUGUGGACAAGGAACCUGAGAUCAGGACUUUGGUACUAGGGGAGGGAGGGAGGGAGGGAAAGGGGAAGAUUUUCUCUGGGGCCUGUGGGAUGAUAAACGGUGUCAUUUUUUUUCUUCUUUUAAGGAAAGGAGAUGGGUUUUGAGUUGAGGGCCCCCCAGAACAUGGGCUCAUGACAUGGGGACAAAUAUCCACAGCUCAUCCCGGGCCUCAGGAGUUUUUCAGAGUCAGCCUCUCCUGUACAUACAGCAGCAGCAGCCUCAGGCAUGCGCACGUAAACCACACGCAGCCUGACAACCCCCUCACUGUGUCCACGGUAACCAGAGUGUGGGAUUUGUGGUGUCCCUGGCUUCCUAGGGAAGGGGAGUCUCUUCCCCUUCGCCCACACAGCUACUGCCCAGGGUCUGCCCCCUCCCGAGCAGAGGAAUGGGCUCCCCAAUGUGGGAAGUCCUAGUCCUUCCCAGGCCUUUUCUCCCCCUGUAAUUAAGUGUAUAGGGACAGAGACAGCCUGGUGUUCCUGCCUGGAGCCUCUGAGUUCUAGAGUCUCUUCCCCAGGGCAGUCAUCUUUGAGCCCCGCCCUUCCCAGGCCCUUCCCGGGAAGAAGCAUCCAUAGCUGGGCGUCCACACCCCGCUUCUCUCAACUGGUAUUGGUUAUGCAUCUCCUAGUGCCAGGUAUGGCAAGAGCUUAGAGAGCCAUAGCCCUUGCGUUCAUAGGCUUCAGAGCAAGUGAUUGGGCAGAUCGCUUCUUAUAGAGCCGCACCGGAAAUAGUUCAGGCUGUGGAGACCACAUGGAUUUUGUGCAAACCCUUAACUCUGGCGUGUCAGAAUUUACCUGCACCAUGCACAGAUCUGUGCCUCGUGUCCCAGUGAAACGCUAGUAAAAGAGCAGGAGUGUGGCCUUGGGGCUGCAGUUCACUAAACUCUACUCUGAGAGAAAGCGGGUAAUGAUGCUACUGGUGAUGCCGACUGACUUGAAAAUAAACAAGGAGCUGA